ACUAAACCCAAUUACAAACUUUUUUCUCAUUGCACUUAGACAAGCAUUCUCUUCUGCUAUGAGAUAUAUCAGUCCGCCAUGUAUUCUAUGUAGAUGAAAAAUUGGAUACAAAACAGUCUAACAAGACAACGAAGAGAAGUUUGCAGCUCUGUUUUGAAAAAAAGAAGCAGAGAUGGGUGAGUUAUCUUAGGCCAGGAUUAAUGUGUGGAAGGUCGGGUUAGGGUUUCCAAAACUGAGAGAUUGAUGAGUUCGAUUUGGAUUUCGAUUGGUUUGACUCACUACUCCACCGGCGUCGACUUGUGGUCCAUCGGAUGCAUCUUCGACGAGAUGGUGAGGAGGAGGCAGGCUCUGCUUCCAGGAUCUUCUGUUCCCACAGUUGCUUCACAUUUUAAGCUUCCCGGCUGUGUGGCUAAAUAGAUUGUGGCAAUGGAUACAAUAAAAAAAAGUUGUAUUCAAGCUACCCCAAGGAUGAUUUAAAAAGAAUAGAGAAAGAGGUUGAUGAUUUGACCAGAAGGCUUGUCAAGACAGCAGAGGACUUGUGCAAGGCAAAGGAGAAGGAGAUCGGUGCAGGGUAAAAGGUGGUAUUUUGUCUGUGUUUUUGUAUCUCGAUUGGCGGAAGGCCCCACCUCCUUCCUGAAGAGCUUUACCUGAAUUUGCUUUUGUAAAAGAGUCCUUUAGUUUAUCAUUAUUUAAUAUGCGAAAUUGAUGUUUCAAAUUAUGAUAAAGUGAGUUCCUUUAAACGGGUUCAGAGAUUUAGCUCCCAUACAUGUUAUUAACAACAUAACCUCGUCCCACACUGAUUGUUGCUUAUAUAAAUUUUGCUGCUUAUUAUUUAUGUGGGCUCCCGCUACCAAUUGUUUCAGCUUAUAUUGUACAUUUAUGUUCAUACGUUUUGCUGAUGAUUUCAGCUAAAGGAGCUUGAGAUGCCAGGCCCAAAGACAAGAUAGGAACCUCUAUACGUAGAUGAUUUCAGUUAGUGGAUGAAGACCUAGUUCUCAAAGACAAGAUAGGAACCUCUCUUAGGAAUUUGUAUAGCAGACUUGAAUCUAAUCUCCAAAGCAGUAAGAAGCGUCAUGCAGAACUCUUUGAGCAGUGUAAUGAGCUAAAGAGGGGGCAAGAGGAUUUUGUGAGAGUUUCUAAGCUAAGUAAUAUCUCUUUCAAAGGCUUGAACUGUUUUCUACUUUGUAAGAAUGUUAUAUGUGGAUCUGAAUCUCAUGCUUCUAAAUCAAGAGAAUGGGACUCUUAAUAACUGUGAUUUAAUACUGACUUAAGUUUAUCUUAUGGAGAGGAUCAUUCCAGCAACAUAUCCAUACAGAAUGAAAUGAAGCUAAUAAAGCUUUAUCUUGUAUGUUGGUCCAUAAGUGCCCUUGUGUACUAUUGUUAAAGUGCCCUGGUUUUGUGACCAUCUGCUCGAGAUUAGGAAAUUAUAGUUCCUCAUGUAUUUUUGUUUGAGAUGAGUGGUCAGUGGGAAAUGAGGAAAAAACAAACACAUAUUUUACUUCACUUCUUGUAUUUGUAUGUAUAUGCUCCCAAGGGGAUAGAUCAGGAAGAAAACACAGUUUCAUAUGAAAGCAUGCUUAUGCAGGUCUUUGAGUAUUGCAAAAGGAUUUAGAUAUGCAAAGUCAAAAUGGCUGUGAUUCAUAUGUAUA